rnacentral:rRNA from 1 species
CGCAGAAGGAGGGGCCCGCGUCAGAUUAGCUUGUUGGUGGGGUAAUGGCCUACCAAGGCGAUGAUCUGUAGCUGGUCUGAGAGGAUGAUCAGCCACACUGGGACUGAGACACGGCCCAGACUCCUACGGGAGGCAGCAGUGGGGAAUAUUGGACAAUGGGCGAAAGCCUGAUCCAGCAAUGCCGCGUGAGUGAUGAAGGCCUUAGGGUUGUAAAGCUCUUUCGCACGCGACGAUGAUGACGGUAGCCGUGAGAAGAAGCCCCGGCUAACUUCGUGCCAGCAGCCGCGGUAAUACGAAGGGGGCUAGCGUUGUUCGGAAUUACUGGGCGUAAAGGGCGCGUAGGCGGUUUAUCAAGUCAGGCGUGAAAGCCCCGGGCUCAACCUGGGAAUUUGCGUUUGAU